UGAAGAGGUUUGGAAAGACCCACCACAGAAGGUAAUAGUCCUGUAUGUUAAACGAGAAGACUUUAGAUAUGAUCCAGAGUACCACGGGACACGUGAAACCCUGUGGGAAGCAGGAGGGACCACCCUCCAAGGCUAAAUACUACCUAGUGACCGAUAGCGUAUAGUACCGUGAGGGAAAGGUGAAAAGAACCCCGGGAGGGGAGUGAAAUAGAACCUGAAACCCUGCACUUACAAGCUGUGGAAGCACAUUUCUUGUGUGACCGCGUACUUUUUGUAGAACGGGCCAACGAGUUACGUUAAGUAGCAAGGUUAAGCACUUAAGGUGCGGAGCCGUAGCGAAAGCGAGUUUUAACUGAGCGUUCAGUUACUUGACGUAGACCCGAAACCGGGCGACCUACCCAUGAGCAGGAUGAAGCGAAAGUAAAAUUUCGUGGAGGUCCGAACCCACGAGCGUUGAAAAGCUCGGGGAUGACUUGUGGGUAGCGGUGAAAUUCCAAUCGAGCCCGGAGAUAGCUGGUUCUCCCCGAAAUAGCUUUAGGGCUAGCCUCAAGGUGAGAGAUACGGAGGUAGAGCACUGAAUGUCCUAGGGGGUAUUGCACCUACCGAAGACUAUCAAACUCCGAAUGCCGUCAUCUUAUACUUGGGAGUCAGACUGUGGGUGAUAAGAUUCAUAGUCGAAAGGGCAACAGCCCAGAUCGUCAGCUAAGGUCCCUAAAUGUAAGUUAAGUGGUAAAGGAUGUGGGAUUGCACAGACAACCAGGAUGUUGGCUUAGAAGCAGCCACUCAUUCAAAGAGUGCGUAAUAGCUCACUGGUCGAGUGAUCCUGCGCCGAAGAUUUCCGGGGCUAAAACUUACUACCGAAGCUACGGCAUCAGUAAUGAUGGGUAGGGGAGCUUCCCAUACGGGUUGAAGCAUGACCGUAAGGACAUGUGGACAGUAUGGGAGUGAGAAUGUUGGCAUGAGUAGCGAGAUGUGGGUGAGAAUCCCACAGGCCGUAAACCCAAGGUUUCCAGGGGAAGGUUCGUCCGCCCUGGGUUAGUCGGGACCUAAGCUGAGGCCGAAAGGCGUAGGUGAUGGACAACAGGUUGAUAUUCCUGUACUACCGAUAACCGUUUGAGAGAAGGGAUGACACAGUAGGAUAAGCUAAGCACACUGUUGGUUAUGUGUGCCCAAGCAUUGAGGCAGUCAAAGUAGGCAAAUCCGCUUUGAUAAUGCUGGGAUGUGAUGGGGAGCGAAAUUUAGUAGCGAAGUAGCUGAUUUCACACUGUCAAGAAAAGUCUCUAUCGAGGUUAAAGGUACCCGUACCGCAAACCGACACAGGUGGGUGAGGAGAGUAUCCUAAGGCCAGCGAGAGAACUGUUGUUAAGGAACUCGGCAAAAUGACCCCGUAACUUAGGGAUAAGGGGUGCCACCAUCAGGUGGCCGCAGAGAAUAGGCCCAAGCGACUGUUUACCAAAAACAUAGGUUUCUGCUAAGUCGCAAGACGAUGUAUAGGAGCUGACGCCUGCCCGGUGCUGGAAGGUUAAGGGGAUCUGUUAGAGCAAUCGAAGCAGUGAACUUAAGCCCCAGUAAACGGCGGCCGUAACUAUAACGGUCCUAAGGUAGCGAAAUUCCUUGUCGGGUAAGUUCCGACCCGCACGAAAGGCGUAACGAUUUGGGCACUGUCUCAACAACAGACUCGGUGAAAUUGUAAUUCCGGUGAAGAUGCCGGAUACCUGCGACAGGACGGAAAGACCCCAUGGAGCUUUACUGUAGCUUGACAUUGGGUCUUGGUACUACAUGUACAGGAUAGGUGGGAGGCUUUGAAACCAGGACGCCAGUUUUGGCGGAGCCAUCCUUGGGAUACCACCCUUGUAGUACUGGGACUCUAACCAUAGGCCAUGAAUCUGGUCUUGGGACACUGUCAGGUGGGCAGUUUGACUGGGGCGGUCGCCUCCCAAAAGGUAACGGAGGCGCUCAAAGGUUCUCUCAGUACGGUCGGAAAUCGUACGUAGAGUGUAAAGGCAAAAGAGAGCUUGAUUGCAAGACAUACAGGUCGAGCAAGGAUGAAAAUCGGACUUAGUGAUCCGGUGGUUCUGCGUGGAAGGGCCAUCGCUCAACGGAUAAAAGCUACCCUGGGGAUAACAGGCUUAUCUCCCCCAAGAGUCCACAUCGACGGGGAGGUUUGGCACCUCGAUGUCGGCUCAUCACAUCCUGGGGCUGUAGUAGGUCCCAAGGGUUGGGCUGUUCGCCCAUUAAAGUGGUACGCGAGCUGGGUUCAGAACGUCGUGAGACAGUUCGGUCCCUAUCCGUCGCAGGCGUAGGAAAUUUGAGAAGACCUGUCCUUAGUACGAGAGGACCGGGAUGGACGUACCUCUGGUGUACCAGUUGUCCUGCCAAGGGCAUGGCUGGGUAGCUAUGUACGGAAUGGAUAAGCGCUGAAAGCAUCUAAGCGCGAAGCCAACUUCAAGAUAAGAUUUCCCACCGCAAGGGUAAGACCCCAGAAAGACUAUCUGGUUGAUAGGUCGAAGGUGUAAGUGCAGCAAUGUAUUUAGCUUAUCGAUACUAAUAGGUCGAGGACUUGACCAA
rnacentral:rRNA from 1 species